AUUGAACGCUGGCGGCAUGCCUUACACAUGCAAGUCGAACGCGAAAGUGGGGGCAACCCUGCGAGUAGAGUGGCGAACGGGUGAGUAACACAUCGGAACGUACCCAGGAGUGGGGGACAACCUCGAGAAAUCGAGGCUAAUACCGCAUACGUCCUGAGGGAGAAAGCGGGGGAUCCGUAAGGACCUCGCGCUCAUGGAGCGGCCGAUGUCGGAUUAGCUAGUUGGCGGGGUAAAGGCCCACCAAGGCUACGAUCCGUAGCUGGUUUGAGAGAACGACCAGCCACACUGGGACUGAGACACGGCCCAGACUCCUACGGGAGGCAGCAGUGGGGAAUUUUGGACAAUGGGCGCAAGCCUGAUCCAGCCAUGCCGCGUGAGUGAAGAAGGCCUUCGGGUUGUAAAGCUCUUUCGGC
rnacentral:rRNA from 1 species